CCUACGGGGGGCAGCAGUGGGGAAUAUUGGACGAUGGGGGCAACCCUGAUCCAGCCAUGCCGCGUGUGUGAAGAAGGCCCUCGGGUUGUAAAGCACUUUCAGUGAGGAAGAACGCCUGGUGGUUAAUACCCAUCAGGAAAGACAUCACUCACAGAAGAAGCACCGGCUAACUCCGUGCCAGCAGCCGCGGUAAUACGGAGGGUGCGAGCGUUAAUCGGAAUUACUGGGCGUAAAGCGCGCGUAGGUGGCUUGAUAAGCCGGUUGUGAAAGCCCCGGGCUCAACCUGGGAACGGCAUCCGGAACUGUCAAGCUAGAGUGCAGGAGAGGAAGGUAGAAUUCCCGGUGUAGCGGUGAAAUGCGUAGAGAUCGGGAGGAAUACCAGUGGCGAAGGCGGCCUUCUGGACUGACACUGACACUGAGGUGCGAAAGCGUGGGUAGCAAACAGGAUUAGAUACCCUUGUAGUC
rnacentral:rRNA from 1 species